rnacentral:misc_RNA from 1 species
GGAGGUUGCAAUAUUAACAGUGUUGCUAUUUCCUCAAGACUCAAGCUUGAAGUAAAAAACUAACUAGUUGUAUUAACUGAGGGGAAAAACAGAAAGGCAAUAUCAAAACAAGGGGAAUAGCAACCUUGUGUGACAUAACUAUACAUCAAGGAUUUGGCAGCUAACCAGCUCUGCAGAUCCACCGCUUCUCAAAGCAACAACUCUCCACAUAUUUGCUUCAGAUCCUAAAACCGGCUCUGGAACUUCGUGUAGGUUUUUUUGUAAAGAGUUUGCUGAGGUUGAUGGAGAAGGAGCUGAAUGAUUUUGCUUAUCAGCCUGCAUGACCAUGAUAUUGUGAUUUGCAUCUUUAGUGAUCACAUGGAGCUUUCCAAGAAAACCAGCAAGAAGAUAAGGAGACUCUGAAUUGUCAUUAAUAGGUAUAUCUCCUUCAAUCACCUUCCAGGUGUCAUUUUGAUGAUCAUAAACUUUUAUUCUAGCACUAUCUAGCGUACUAGAGGGAUCCAGUGCAUACAACUCUCCUUCAACAGUGACACUCAACUUUGUUCCUGCCUGCCUAGCAGGCCAGCCAUCUCCCAUGCCAAGUGGCAUUUCAAUCCAUGCAUUUGUUUCGGGAUCGUAAACCUCUCCUCCAACAUCAACAAAAAA